rnacentral:rRNA from 1 species
AUUGAACGCUGGCGGCAGGCCUAACACAUGCAAGUCGAGCGGAUGAAGGGAGCUUGCUCCUGUAUUCAGCGGCGGACGGGUGAGUAAUUCCUAGGAAUCUGCCUGGUCGUGGGGGAUAACGUCCGUACACGGGCGCUAAUACCGCAUACGUCCUGAUGGAGAACGUGGGGGAUCUUCGGACCUCACGCUAUCAGAUGAGCCUAGGUCGGAUUAGCUAGUUGGUGGGGUAAAGGCCUACCAAGGCGACGAUCCGUAACUGGUCUGAGAGGAUGAUCUGUCACACUGGAACUGAGACACGGUCCAGACUCCUACGGGAGGCAGCAGUGGGGAAUAUUGGACAAUGGGCGAAAGCCUGACCCAGCAAUGCCGCGUGUGUGAAGAAGGUCUUCGGAUUGUAAAGCACUUUAAGUUGGGAGGAAGGGCAGUAAGUUAAUACCUGGCUGUUUUGACGGUACCAACAGAAUAAGCACCGGCUAACUUCGUG